rnacentral:rRNA from 1 species
CCAAUAGCGUAUAUUCAAGUUGUUGCAGUUAAAAAGCUCGUAGUUGAAUUUCGGGGUUAGUAGGUUGGUCAUGCCUCUGGUAUGUACUGGUCUCACUGAUUACUCCUUCCUGAUGAACCGUAAUGCCAUUAAUUUGGUGUUGCGGGGAAUUUGGACUGUUACUUUGAAAAAAUUAGAGUGUUUAAAGCAAGCUAACGCUUGAAUACCUUAGCAUGGAAUAAUGAAAUAGGACGUUCGAUCCUAUUUUGUUGGUUUCUAGGAUUGACGUAAUGAUUAAUAGGGAUAGUUGGGGGCAUUAGUAUUCAAUUGUCAGAGGUGAAAUUCUUGGAUUUAUUGAAGACUAACUACUGCGAAAGCAUUUGCCAAGGAUGUUUUCAUUAAUCAAGAACGAAAGUUAGGGGAUCGAAGACGAUCAGAUACCGUCGUAGUCUUAACCAUAAACUAUGCCGACUAGGGAUCGGAUGAUGUUAAUUUUUUAAUGACUCUUUCGGCGCCUUACG